rnacentral:rRNA from 1 species
UACGUAGGUCCCGAGCGUUGUCCGGAUUUAUUGGGCGUAAAGCGAGCGCAGGUGGUUUAUUAAGUCUGGUGUAAAAGGCAGUGGCUCAACCAUUGUAUGCAUUGGAAACUGGUAGACUUGAGUGAAGUAGAGGUUGGCGGAAUUCCGAGUGUAGCGGUGAAAUGCGUAGAUAUUCGGAGGAACACCGGUGGCGAAGGCGGCCAACUGGGCUUUAACUGACGCUGAGGCUCGAAAGUGUGGGGAGCAAACAGG